UUCUCUUUUCUUCGGCCGGAUUGAUUACCAAGAUAAAGCUAAGCAAAAAGGGGAUAAAAAUCUCGAAGUUAUUUGGCGGGCCUCCAAGCGUCUUGGUUCAUCUUCACAGAUUUUUGCAAGUGCUUUUCCACAAGAAUAUGCACCUCCACCUGGUGAUUUCAACUUUGAAGUCAACAAUGAUUCCUCAAUCGUACCAUUCAAGACCAGGUCAAAUCUAUUGGCGUUGAUCUUGACGGGGUCCGCAAGGAUCAUCAAGCUAUCAAGGCCAAACUUAAGAUACUCGAGACUGAAAAGGAGGCCAUAAACAAUGUGAUUGCUUCUUUAGAGGAGGAAUUGUGUGUAGUGAUCGAGAAAAAGGAUAAGGCCUAUCACAAAAUUAGUGAGCUGAGGAAUAAACGUGAAGAAGAGAAUACUUGCUUUUACCAAAACCGCUCCCUCUUGAACGAUGCAAGAAGGCUGGCUGCAAGUAAGGACGUUAAUGCCCUUAUAGAGCUUUCAACCUCAGAGGUUUGUUAAACACUCCAGUUGUCUGAUUUCUAAAUUUUAUUAAUAUUGGGAAGCACAUUAAACGCUUAUAUUCGC